GGUUAAAAAGCUCGUAGUUGGAUCUCGGCGGGCAGGGGGUGGUUCGCUCUUCAGCGCUACUGCCCCGCUUUGCCCGUGUGAUUGGCGGAGGUUUCGGGGUGCUCUUCGUUGAGUGACUCGGAGCGCCGUCAGGUUUACUUUGAAAAAAUUAGAGUGCUCAAAGCAGGCUUUUCACGCUUGAAUAUUCGUGCAUGGAAUAAUGGAAUAGGAACUCGUUUCUAUUUUGUUGGUUUUCGGAAAUCGAGUUAAUGAUUAACAGGGACAAUUGGGGGCAUAGUAUUCAGACGACAGAGGUGAAAUUCUUGGACCGUCUGAAGACUGACUACUGCGAAAGCAUUUGCCAAGAGUGUUUUCAUUAAUCAAGAACGAAAGUUAGAGGUUCGAAGGCGAUCAGAUACCGCCCUAGUUCUAACCAUAAACGAUGCCAGCUAGCGAUCUGCCGAGUUUUUUUUGUAGGCUCCGCAGGAAGCUUUCGGGAAACCAAAGCUUUUGGGUUCCAGGGGAAGUAUGGUUGCAAAGCUGAAACUUAAAGGAAUUGACGGAAAGGCACCACCAGGAGUGGAGCCUGCGGCUUAAUUUGACUCAACACGGGAAAUCUCACCAGGCCCGGACACUGGAAGGAUUGACAGAUUGAGAGCUCUUUCUCGAUUCGG
rnacentral:rRNA from 1 species